rnacentral:lncRNA from 1 species
CUAGGUACCACUCGUGUAGUCGUGUGUCGUGCCUCCUACCCUGCUGCCGUAAUAUUGCGUCGACUCAACAUUUGUACAAUAUGAACGGCACGCGUGUUGUUCAGAGUUCACGCAACGCUCUAUAUAAUUGCCAUAGAUUAUUGGACGCAAAUUCGUGCUUCCUACUCCCUUCCUUGCAGGUCAUUCUAACUUUUUUUAAGAGUGAAA